UUUCGUCUCAUCUCCUUGCCAACAGCACAUAAGUGUGAGUGACUCCUUACUGCCGUCCAGGCAGCCUGGGGGCUACGAGGGGCUUCAGAGGUCCUCAUCCCCAGCCUGUAGGCCUGGCCAUACUGGACCCAUGAGAUCAGCCACCCUGUCAGCUGGUACCUCGGGGUCCUACAGUCCUCCUCGCUCAAGCCCUGGUCCUCUAACUCGGAGGUGAUGAGGUGUUGGGCUGGAAGAGACAGGCAGCCAGGCUUUUGAGACUGCAGUGUGAACAGAAGACACAACAACCCACGGAGUGAAGAAUUCUCUGGGCUGCCCCAGCAAUGCAGAGCAGUGUUCCCCUGGAGGGUGGAUGAACUCAGGCAGAGGGGCAGCCCCAGCCCUGGGCUCAGGGGGAAUGGGAAUCAGGUUUGCCCUUGCACCCCAGGGUAGCUGGUGAAGGCUGUCUUGGAUAAUCUUCGGCCUCUCCCUUCCAGACUCUUCUUUAAGCAUCCCCAUCCCACCUUGGUAUCCUAGUCCCUCUGCUACUCCCGUGCUUGCCUUCCUGGGACAGUGAUAGUUGCAGUUCCUGCUGACUUGGAGUGCCCCUCCGCUCUGUGUCCUGUGAGAAAGCGGUGGCCCAAAUGAUCACUCUGUGUUUAAGACAAUCUGGUCUUUUAAAAAAAAAUGAAGAAAGGAAAAGAUGUUUUUCCAGGUCUAAUUAUAAGAGUCAUAAGGCUGGAAAGAUUUGGAGAAAACAUCUGUCUCUCGGCUCUGCCUCCACUAGAUGAUUCCAAUGUACAGCCAAUGAUGAGCAGCUGCUGGGCUGAAGGGACUGGGGCCAUUUUAUACCAGUUGUAGGAUGUUACACAGAAAUGCCUGAAAAGCAAGGAGCAGCUAUCAGAAUGUUUGGUGACACAGCUCCUCCUGUCGUGGUUCCUUCGGCAUGGACUUCACAUUCAGCAGAUCCAUGAGGUGUUCCCUUUCGGAUGAGCUCCAAGGUCUUAAGAGAGCAUCUCUAGUCUGCGUGAGUCCGUCUGAACGACGGUCCUGAGCAAGAACCACCUAUAACCAUCUGCUCAAAAUAACUCAGGGGAAGUCAAAGCUUUCUAUGUGGAAGGUGACUGAAACCACAUACACAGACCACUGCAGCAUUCCUGACAUUAUGGAACUUGGAAAUGAUUCCAAACAUGGCCAUAGCUUGAGUAACAUGUUUUGCUAUGACAAGAACUUGGACUGUAGUCCUUCCCCCUCUCAAGAAUGUGACAUCACACCUUAUCAGAUCCUACGAGUGAGCUACUGACCUCAACCACUGAACUUCAAACUAUGUAAAAACCUAAGGGUUCGACAGACACUUUGAGAGCUUGGGCUGUGGCAAGCUACACUCUGUCAGCCUCUCUUCGACAGGGCCCCACCCUGCUAGCCUUUGAACUUGGAAGCAUCGCCCACAAACACCAGUGCCACCCUCUAGCCUUGAGGGACCAUAUAUGUCUCUGUGAAUCUCCGUUGCAUUGGACAGCUUCUCUCCCAAGAGCUGCUCUUAUAAAAGAGACACACCACAUUUUAAUGAGGCUUCGCUCUCCACAGAGGCCUGCUUCCAUCCUAAUUGAGCAAGUAGACUUUAGUAACUUUGGAACUCACUCACCCCGUGACUAAUACACCCUGUCUACCCAGCGCAUUCCCUGUGAGAUUUGUUCAUGUUGUUCUCCCCCUCCUUAAGCAUUGUGAACCUAGGAAAAAUAUCAUCUCUGUAGGGCAAUAAACCAUGUGAUUUGUGAAAUCAUACU
rnacentral:lncRNA from 1 species